rnacentral:rRNA from 1 species
UACGAAGGGUGCAAGCGUUAAUCGGAAUUACUGGGCGUAAAGGGUGCGUAGGCGGUUGCCUAAGUCCGUUGUGAAAGCCCUGGGCUCAACCUGGGAAUGGCAGUGGAUACUGGGUGACUGGAGUACGGUAGAGGAUGGCGGAAUUCCCGGUGUAGCAGUGAAAUGCGUAGAGAUCGGGAGGAACAUCAGUGGCGAAGGCGGCCAUCUGGACCAGUACUGACGCUGAGGCACGAAAGCGUGGGGAGCAAACAGGAUUAGAUACCCCCGUAGUCC